AUCGCUUCUCGGCUCACCGAGCUUAGAUUAAGUGUAGUAUCUGUUCUUCUCAGGUUAGUACCCUGUGACGGAAACGAUUCGUUUCCUCUAUGUAUUAAUCGGAUUUUUGAAAUUGGAGUACGGUGCUGGAGCUUGCUC
rnacentral:snRNA from 1 species